GCACCGAUAGUUUAGGGGUAGAAUUGAAGCUUCCCAUCUUUAGGAUUUGCUUCAGGCGCGGGUUCGAGUCCCGCUCGGUGCA
rnacentral:tRNA from 1 species